UACGUAGGGUGCGAGCGUUGUCCGGAAUUACUGGGCGUAAAGAGCUCGUAGGUGGUUUGUCGCGUUGUCCGUGAAAACUCACAACUCAAUUGUGGGCGUGCGGGCGAUACGGGCAGACUGGAGUACUGCAGGGGAGACUGGAAUUCCUGGUGUAGCGGUGGAAUGCGUAGAUAUCUGGAGGAACACCGGUGGCGAAGGCGGCAUCCUGGACCGGCAUUGACGCUGAGGCGCGAAAGCUAGGGGAGCGAACAGG
rnacentral:rRNA from 1 species